UGGUGAUCCGAUAACUGCUGAUGAUCUCGGUGUCGGUGGUGCUUUGACAGUGCUGAUGAAGGAUGCUAUUAACCCGACAUUAAUGCAGACUCUUGAGGGAACUCCUGUUCUUGUUCAUGCCGGUCCUUUUGCAAACAUCGCACACGGUAACUCCUCUAUAGUGGCUGAUAAGAUUGCCCUGAAGCUGGUAGGACCUGGUGGGUUUGUAGUCACAGAAGCAGGUUUUGGGGCUGAUAUUGGUGCCGAGAAAUUUAUGAACAUAAAAUGUCGCUACAGCGGUUUAACUCCCCAGUGCACUGUAAUCGUGGCAACG
rnacentral:misc_RNA from 1 species